rnacentral:rRNA from 1 species
GAUGAACGCUAGCGGCAGGCUUAACACAUGCAAGUCGAGGGGCAGCAUGACACGGAGAUUCGUCGAAGUGUUGAUGGCGACCGGCGCAAGGGUGCGUAACGCGUGAGCAACUUGCCCGUUUCAGGGGGAUAACCGGUGGAAACGCCGACUAAUACCCCAUAGUAUUGAUUUAAGGCAUCUUUUAUCAAUUAAAGAACUUCGGAAACGGAUAGGCUCGCGUGACAUUAGCUAGAUGGCGGGGUAACGGCCCACCAUGGCGACGAUGUCUAGGGGUUCUGAGAGGAAGGUCCCCCACACUGGAACUGAGACACGGUCCAG